rnacentral:lncRNA from 1 species
GAGCAAAUUAAUAUCCAAAGAGUAACCUACGGACCUGGCCAUGGCAUCAGCGUGGGAAGUCUAGGAAAGUACCCUCAUGAAGAACCUGUGGUUGGCAUUAGUGUCAAGAACUGCACCUCACCAACACCCAGAAUGGCGUGAGAGUGAAGACAUGGCCUACUUCCCAUCAAGGCACUGCCUCUGAAAUGCAUUUUGAAGAUAUUGUCAUGAAUAAUAUACCAAAUUUUUUGUGAAGGAUGUACCAAAUUUUGUAAAGGGUGUACCAAGGUUGCCAAAGUCCAUUUUGAGGAAGAGAACGAUCUUCAAUCACUUCCUGAGGGUCUCCAAAUGAAAAAAUGGACCAUGGGAAGAGAGAUAAGUGUCUCGUUAGCGCAAAGAUUGGAUGCAUCAAAUUUUCUCAAUGAUGUACCUAGGGUUCCAAAGUCCAUUUCGGAGUAGGGAAUGACAUCUAAGCACUUCCCAAAGAUCCCUAAAGGAAUAAACGGACCGUGGGUAAUAAGAUAGGGGUCCUAGUAGCUUAGGGAUUUGAUAUACCAAUUUUUUUUUUUUAAGAAUAUAUCAAAAUUUGUGAAGGAUGUACCAGAUUUUAUAAAUGAUGUACCAAGGGGGCCAAAGUCCUUUCCGAAGUGGGGACUGACCUCCAUUCACUUCCUAAGGGUGUUCAAAUGAAUAAAUGGAUCAUGGGAAGGAAGAUAGGUGUCCCAUUAGCUUAAGGAUUGGGUGUAUCAAAUUUUCUCAAGGAUGUACCUAAAGUUCCAAAGUUCAUUUCAAAGUAGGGAACAACCUCCAAUCACUUCCCAAAGAUCCUUAUAGGAAUAAGCGAACCAUGGGUAAUAGGAUUGGGGUUUCAGUAGUUUAAGGAUUUAAUGUACCAAAUUUUUUUAAAGAUGUACCAAAUUUUGUGAAGGAUGUACCGAAUUUUAUAAAGGAUAUACCAAAUUUUGUAAACAAUGUACCAAGUGGGCCAACAUCCGUUCUAAAGUGGGAAACAACCUCCAAUCACUUUCCAAAGAUCCUUAAAGGAAUGAACGGACCAUAGGUAAUAAGAUAGGGGUCCCCGUAGCUCAAGAAUUGGAUGUGCCAAUUUUUUUUAAGGUUGUACCAAAUUUUGUGAAGGAUGUACCAAAUUUUAUAAAGGAUGUACUAAGGUUGUCAAAUUAUGUUCCAAGGUAGGGAAAGACCUCUAAUCACUUCUCGAGGGUCUCCAAAGGAAGAAAUGGACUAUGGAAAGGGAGAUAGGUAUCUUAUUAGCUCAAGGAUUGGAUGUAUCAAAAUUUCUCAAGGAUAAACCUAGGGUUCAAAGUCCGUUUUCGAGUAAAGAAAGACCUCUAAUCACUUUCCAAAGAUCCCUAAAGUAAUGAACGGACCAUGGGUAAUAAGAUAGGGAUCUAGUAGCUUAAGGAUUGGAUGUACCAACUUUUUUUAAGGAUGUACUAAAUUUUGUGAAGGAUGUACUAAAUUUUAUAAAGGAUGUACUAAAUAUUAUAAAGAAUCUGCCAAGGGAGGCAAAGUCCGUUCUGAAGUGGGGAACGACCUCUAAUCAUUUCCUAAUUAAGGUUGUCUAAAGGAAUAAAUGGAUCAUGGAAAGGAAGAUGGGUGUCUCCUUAUCUUAAGGAUUGGAUGUAUUAAAUUUUCUUAAUGAUGUACCUAGGGUUCCGAAGUCUGUUUCGGAGUAGGGAAUGACAUCCAAUCACUUUCCAAAGAUCCCUAAAGGAAUGAACGGACCAUGAGUAAUAAGAUAGGGGUUCCUGUAGCUCAAGGAUUAGAUGUACCAAAUUUUUUUUAAGGAUGUACCAAAUUUUGUGAAGGAUAUACAAAUUUUGUGAAGGAUGUACAAAUUUUGUAAAUGAUGUACCAAAUUUUGUAAGGAUGUACCAAGGUUGCCAAAGUCUAUUUCAAGGUGGGGAACAAUCUUCAAUCACUUCCUGAAGGUCUCCAUAGGAAGAAAUGGACCGUGGAAAGGAAGAUAGGUGUCCCAUUAGCUCAAGGAUUGGAUGUAUCAAAUUUUCUCAAAGAUGUACCUAGGGUUCCAAAAUCCAUUUCGAAGUAUGGAACGACCUCCAAUCACUUCCAAAGAUCCUUAAAGGAAUAAAUGGACCAUGGGUAAUAAGAUAGAGGUUUCGAUAGAUCAAGGAUUGGAUGUACCAAAUAUUUUUAAGGAUGUACCAAAUUUUGUGAAGGAUGUACUAAAUUUUGUGAAGGAUGUACCAAAUUUUGUAAAGGAUGUACCAAAAGAGCUAAUGUUUAUUCCGAGGUAAGGAAUGACCUCCAAUCAUUACUUGAGGGUCCUCAAAGGAUAAUAUGGACUAUGGGAAGAGAGAUACGGGUCUCGAUAGCCCGAGGAUUGGAUGCAUCAAAAUUUCUUAACGAUGUACCAAAUUUCCUUAAGGAUGUACUUAGGGUUUCGGAGUAUGGAACAACCUUUAAUUACUUCCUAAAGAUCCCUAAAGAAAUAAAUGAACCAUGGGUAAUAAUAUAGAGGUCUUGGUAGCUCAUGGAUUGAAUGUACCAAAUUGUUUUAAGGAUGUGCCAAAUUUUGUGAAAGAUGUAUCAAAUUUUAUAAAAAAAUGUACCAAAUUAUCUUUAGGAUGUACCUUGGGUUCCAAUGUCCGUUCCAGGGUGAGGAACAACAUCCAUUUCCUUUUCGAGAGUCCCCAAAGGAAUAUAUGAACCAUGAGAAUGGAGAUAGGGUUCUUGGUUUCUCUAAGAAUGGAUAUACCUAGGACUGCAAAGCUCGUUUUGGAGUGGGCGAGGACCUCCAAUUACUUUCGAGGGUCCUAAAGAAAUAUAUACACCAUGAUAAAUAUGAUAGUGGUUCCGAUUAUCCUAAGCAUGAAUUUACCUUUUUUUUUUUUUAAGGAUGUACCUAUUUUUUAGGAAAUUAAUAUAAAAGGUCAAAUACAAUUUUUUUAUGAAAAAUAUAUUUUCUUUUAUAUUUUUUUAAUUAAAAAUUAAAAAUUUUAGCCUAACAAAAAGUUAGAUCCAAAAUCAAAUUACAAUCAUAAGAUAUAUGAUAAAAACACCGUCACUUAUUGUGAUUUUGAUAUGAUAAAUUUAAAAUGAAAAUUAAUUCUAUUUAUGUUAAAAUAAUAUAUUAUUAUGUUAAUUUGUUUAAAGAAUUAAUUCUAUUACAUACCUAUUAAAUUGCAUGUUAAUAAAUAAAUUUUAUUCUCAAUAAAUUAAUAUAUAAAAUUGAAUCCACACAACCAUUCAUAAAAGUAAUUCUCAUAUCCAAUAAAUUAUUUACAUAUAAUAUUACAAUUCAUAUCCUAAAUUAAACCAUGAUAAAUAUGUUCAAAGAAAUUAAUUUUAAAUCAUACGUACAUGUGUGAUUGAAUAAAUAAUUCAGUCUAUAUUCAAAGUUUGAUUAUGUUGUUGUAGACAUUAAAGAGUAUAAAGAUUUAGGUUCUACCACGAAAAAAUAUUAAAAAGGAUGAACCAAGAAAUUAAGAGUUUUUCAAACGAAACUUAUAUGAAAUGAAACCAAAGAAAAUCUUAACAAUGAAAAUAUCCAAAACAAUCAUAGAGUGGUCAUGUAUGAUCAAGGAAAUAUAAGAAGAUAUGAUUUUAUUUCAUCAAACAAUAAAGGAAUAUGUCAAACCUCAUAUUGUUGAAGAGGACACGAAAGAGGGCACAAUAUAUUGAAGACACAAUAAAAGGAGAAGGUAUAAGUAAUCUCAAAUUCAAUGCUAUUUUGUCAAAAAAAAUAAAAAUUUAUCAUUAUGUAUAUGAAUUUAGAAGUGUUGCUAACAGUAUGGAAAGAACAACCAAUUGUGUUGGAAAAAAAUCAAGGAUCUUCUUUAUUGUUGGAAUAUAAAAUAUAAAGUGAGGAGAAAAAUACAUAAUAUCCUCACAUCCAUGCAUUGCAAUAGGUGGUUUUAGAAAUAUUUUCUUAGGACUCAAUGAAUAUGGGAAAGUAAUCAAUCAACUUUUGUAGAUGUGUCCAAAAAUUUUUUGAAUGACAAAGGUGAGAUCUUAGUUUAUUUGAAAAAUAGCGGACAUCAAUUUAUUUCAAAUAUCUAUCAUAACCCAAACAUGAAAAACAUACAAUAUAUUAAGUUUGGAUCAACUUUGAGAAAAGAGUGAUGAGAUUCAUAGGAAAAAUCGAAGUCUCCCAAUAGGAUAUCAUUAUGUCAACUUUAUUUCAAAUGUGUCUAUGACAAGAAAAAGAAUAAUCUUACUAAACAAUCAAAAUUAUGUUGUAUUUAAAAUUCCUAACAUUUGGUGUCAAUGAUCCCUCUUGGAUUGGCCACUUAAGAUAUUGACAAUAUCUUAAAUUAGGCAAAUUGAAAUUGUUAAGUGAGAAAAAAAUGAUUCAAGACUUGUCUUCUAUAGAUCACUCAGUGAAGGAUGCUUACUUCAACCACAUGCCCAGAAAAGUUUUCCAAAGCCUAGAGCUCAAGGUUUGGCAACCAAACAAAGUUGUAAUUAAUGGUUUGGAGCUCUCUAGAAUUAUUGGAAAAUUUUUGAGAAAAUAAGGGCAAAAAUAAAAAAUGUACCAAAGAAAAAUUAUAUCAUCUCUCUUUAAAACAAUUUGCGGUUAUCAAAUUAUAUGGUGCAAAUCCAAGUUUUAAUUGGCAUGUAUGCCUGCACAUUAUUUUUACUUGGGACCCUAUGGUAUAGUAUCACUGAAAGCAGUGUAAUAAAACGGGAGAAGAUAGAUAUAUACCAUUACAAAGUACAAAUGGAGCAAGCUUCUCAAUCUUUACAAUUACUUGUAAGCUGAUCAUAAGAUUUCUUCUAUGAUUAGGAAAUCUUGUUUGCACUUAAAUCUUUUUACUUAGUCAUGAAUUAAGAGGUUGUGUUUAGUUAAAAAAAAUAAAAAAUAAUAAUUAUUGCAUAAACGAUUUAGAGUAAUAUGAGUUUGCCAUGUAAGGUUUGAGAAGGCGAUGAAGGCUAAUGAUAGGGGGGAAGUUAACCCAAACAUCACAACCUAAUUGAAACUAUAAAGCUUGAUUAGCUAACAAUUGGUUAAUGGUUUUACUGGUGUUGAGCUUCUCCAAUUGCACUAUAAAAUGGCUUCAAAAAAAUAAGGUUUCAUGAAUAUUGUUGCUUACAAGUUUUACCAAACAAAGCAGAAGAGAGGGACAAAGAAAAGAUGGGCAUGAAAUUGAAUAUCACAGCAACAUCUCUUAUGCUAUUGCUAGCAUCUGCUGCGGAAGUGUCUUGUGAUACCAUUUUUGAUGUUACCAAAUAUGGUGCCAGGGCUGACGGAAACACCGAUAUCAGCCAGGUGAGGACAAUGCAAUUAUAAUAUUGUAAGACAUGUUAAACUUGAAUUUUUUCUAAAUGGGUUCUCUAUGGAAUGUUUUCUUAGGCCUUACUUAAAGCUUGGGGAGACGCUUGUUCAUCGCCUGUGGCAAGUACAGUUAUGACUCCGGAUGGGACAUGCACUAGGCCAAAUAACCAUUGGAGGACCUUGCAAGGAUCCUAUCAAUUUCAUUGUCCAAGGCAGUGUGAAGGCCCUGAUGGAUACCAGCAGGUUCAAGGCCUAAGCUGGUUGGAUUGCUUUCCGACAAAUAGACCAGUUCACAUUGUCUGGUGGUGGAGUUUUUGAUGGGCAAGGAAAAACUGUAUGGGGCACAAAAUGCCCCAGCUCUGCAUACUGCAACCAACUUCCCAUCGUAAGCUCAUGUAUAUAUAUGCUUAUGUAAUUCUUUCAGUUUGUGUGCAUAACGAGGAAACUAACACCAUAAGCUUUGGUGUCUCUUUUUUUUACUUGAAAUAUCUAUAAUAGAAUCUGAGGUUCAACUUCAUCACCAAUAGCAUGGUCAAGAACAUAACUUCAAGAGACAGUAACCAGUUUCAUAUUAAUCUUUUGGGGUGCAAGAAUUUAACUUUCUACAACGUUGCAAUCAGUGCACCAGAAGAGAGACUCAACACAGAUGGAAUUCACAUUGGACGAUCCUUGGGGAUCAAUAUCACCUAUUCAACCAUAGAAACCGGAGAUGAUUGUGUCUCAAUUGGUGAUGGCAGUGAGCAAAUUAAUAUGCAAAGAGUAACCCGCGGACCUGGCCAUGGCACAGCGUGGGAAGUCUGGGAAAGUAACCCAAUGAAGAACCUGUGGUUGGCAUUAGUGUCAAGAACUGCAACCUUACUAACACCCAGAAUGGCGUGAGAGUGAAGACAUGGCCUGCUUCCCAUCAAGGCACUGCCUCUGAAAUGCAUUUUGAAGAUAUUGUCAUGAAUAAUGUUGGCAAUCCCAUAAUCAUAGAUCAAGAGUACUGCCC